GACGAACGCUGGCGGCGUGCUUAACACGUGCAAGUCGAACGGGGAUCGUCAGUGUAGCAAUACAUCGGCGGUCCUAGUGGCCCACGGGUGAGUAACACGUGGGUAACCUGCCCUUGAGUUCGGGAGUACCCUCUCGAAAGGGAGGCUAAUACCGGAUACGUUCCUCGGAUUGCGAAGUCUGGGGAGGAAAGGUGGCGCAAGCUGCCGCUCUUGGAGGGGCUCGCGGCCUAUCAGCUAGUUGGGAGGU
rnacentral:rRNA from 1 species